rnacentral:misc_RNA from 1 species
UGAAGAACGUGAUAAGUUGAUGACUUUUUUUGAUUUGUGUUGUGGUUGUAGAAUGCAUUUAGCAUUUAUGUGCUUAUUGGGUUUACUUGAUGAUUUUGUAUUUGGGUUUAUAGAUUUUUUAUUGAUGUUGUGUAUAUCAUGUUUAUUUGUUUUAGAUUUAUAUGAUUUGCUUUUUAUUGGAAAUAGACUUUUAUAUUUGCGUUUGCGCGGGUUAGCAUUUUUUGAUGUUUUUGAUUUAUGUUUUAAUAGUAUAAGUGGUUGUUUGUCUAGAUCGUUGGGUAUGGUAUGAGAUGUUAGAUUAUAUAGUUGUUACGAAUUAUAUUUUAUGUUAGUUUUUGAUUAUUGCUUUUGUUAUUUAGGUGAUGCAUUUGAUAGACUUUUUUUGCGACUUUUUGAUAUGCGUAUGAGUAUACUUCUAUGUAAACAAUGCUUUUUUGUAGGUUUUUUUGUCUUUGGAUUUGUGUGCUUAUUUGAUUAUAUGUAUGUUGAUGUAACUAUAGAAACUAUAAUUAGUUUAUUUUAUAGUUUAUGAUGUUGCAUAUUACCAGGAUGUUCAUUUGCUAAUGUUGAACAUCCUAAAGGCGAAUACAGUAUUUUUUUAUGUUUUUUAUAUGGAUUUAUAUCACGUUUACGUAUACGUUGUGCAGAUUUUGUGCAUAUUUGUUUAUUAGAUGUGAUGAUGCGAGGGUUUAUGUUGCACGACUUAGUAGCAGUUAUUGGUAAUGUUGAUGUUGUUUUUGGUUCUGUAGAUCGAUAAGCUAUUACUUAUAUACAAAAAUGAAAGAUGAACCUAAAAAUUGGUGCGGAGGGGUUUGAUUUUUGUUGGGGUUCUGUCUUACCUGCUAUUUGUAUAGUUUAUUUAAUUUUUUGUUUAUGUGGAUUAUUUUGUAUUAUGUUUGGUAGUUUUGUUUUUAUUGAUUAUUGUUUUAUUUGUUUUUUCUCUUGUCUUGUGUUUUGUUUAGUAUGCUUGUUGUGCGAUUUAUUUGUAGACUCAUUACGCGGUUUGUUUGAUGUUUGUUGUUUUAUACGUUGUAUUCAAUAUUGUUUUGUAUGGUUUAUAAUUAGUGAAUUACUUCUUUUUUUAUCUUUAUUUUAUGUAGUUUUCAGUUUAGUUUUAUUUGUGAGUGUUGAAUUUGCAUUUGUAUUUGUUAUGCCUAUUAUGUUUAGUUGUUUAAUUUGUGAUUUUGGUUUUGUAUUUUAUUGAUAUUUUAUUGAUAUUUUUAAUUUAUUAAUUAAUACAUUUUUAUUAUUUGUAAGUGGUUUAUUUGUUAAUUUUGUUUUAUUUUUAUUUUGAUUUCGUUUUUUUUUAUGUGUUUUAUUUAUGUUAUGAGUCGGUAUAUUAUUUGGCUUUUUGUUUAUGUGAAAUCAAGUUUGAGAGUUUUCAUUAUUAUUUGUGACUUGUAGUUGUGGCGUAUUUGGAUCAAUACUUUUUUUAAUCGAUUUAUUGCAUUUUAGUCAUGUCUUUUUAGGUAUAUUUUUGUUAUUUUUAUGUUUUAGUCGUUGUUUUAAUUUUUUAUGUAUGGAUACACGUUUUGUAUUUCUAUAUGUAGUGUGCCUAUAUUGGCAUUUUGUUGAUUGCGUUUGAUUUUUUUUAUUACGAUUUGUAUAUUUUGAUGUUUUAAGUGUGGUUUACUUAUAUGCAUAAAGGCUCAAUUUUGAAUUUUUAAAUUUUAUUUCAAAAAGCGGAGAGGAAAGAAAAGGCUUUUAACUUCAGGUUGUUUAUUGCGUAUUUAUGGUGUGGGUUUUAGUUUAGGUUUUUUUAUUUGUAUGCAGAUAAUUUGUGGUGUGUGUUUAGCAUGAUUAUUUUUUAGUUGUUUUAUAUGUACUAAUUGAUAUUUUGUUUUAUUUUUGUGAGAUUUUGAUUUGGGAUUUGUAAUACGAAGCACACAUAUUUGUUUUACAUCGUUGUUAUUUUUUCUUCUUUAUGUUCAUAUAUUUAAGUGUAUAGUAUUAAUAAUUUUAUUUGAUACACAUAUUUUAGUAUGGGUGGUAGGUUUUGUGAUAUAUAUAUUUAUAGUAAUAAUAGGUUUUAUUGGCUAUGUUUUACCAUGUACAAUGAUGUCGUAUUGGGGUUUAACAGUGUUCAGUAACAUUUUAGCAACUGUCCCAGUUAUUGGUACUUGACUUUGUUAUUGAAUAUGAGGUAGUGAGUAUAUUAAUGAUUUUACACUGUUAAAAUUACAUGUGUUGCAUGUGCUAUUACCUUUUGUAUUAAUACUUGUAAUAUUUAUGCAUUUGUUUUGUUUACAUUAUUUUAUGAGUUCAGAUGGUUUUUGUGAUCGAUUUGCAUUUUAUUGCGAACGUUUAUGUUUUUGUAUGUGAUUUUAUUUACGAGAUAUGUUUUUGGCUUUUUUGAUAUUAUUUUUUGUAAUUUAUUUUAUUUUUAUAAAUUGAUAUUUUGUUUUUCAUGAAGAAUCUUGAGUUAUAGUUGAUACAUUAAAAACAUCUGAUAAGAUUCUUCCUGAGUGAUUUUUUUUUAUUUUUAUUUGGUUUUUUAAAAGCUGUACCAGAUAAAUUUACUGGUUUAUUAUUAAUGGUUAUUUUAUUAUUUUCCUUAUUUUUGUUUAUAUUAAAUUGCAUAUUAUGAUUUGUUUAUUGUAGAAGUUCAUUGUUGUGAUUUACAUAUUCAUUAGUUUUAUUUUAUAGUAUAUUUAUGAGUGGUUUUUUAGCACUGUAUGUUAUAUUAGCAUAUCCUAUAUGAAUGGAAUUACAAUUUUGAGUGUUGCUUUUGUUUAUGUUAGUUGUAUGUAGAUUAGAUUAAAAAUUUAUAUAUUUUUUAUUAAGCGUUAAUAUAUUAAAUUUUAUUUAGAAUAGUAUUAAUAAUCAAAGGGUUGGAAGAAAUUUGCGAAAGAAAGGGAUCUUAGAAAGGAAAUUUUAGUUUAAGACCGAGAAGGGGAGAAGGGAGAGAGAGAUUCGUGUUAUUUAAUUUUUAUGGAUUAAUUGCGUAUUACUGUAUAACAUAUUUAAAUGUCUAUAUUUUAUUUUGUAUUGUAUUUAUGUAUUAUAUGGCUUUUUUAUUUUGUUUUUGCAUUUUAUUAGAUUUUAUAUUAUUUGGAAGUCUUUUAGUAGGAGAUGCGUUUAUGGAUGUUUUUUUUUUACGUUAUCUAUUAUGCUUUUUGGAGUGUUUUUCAUUAUUAUGUAGAUGUAUAUCUACUUUUUUACGAAUGUUUUGUAAUCUUUUGUCUUCGCAUUUUUUGAUGCUUAUGUUUUGUGAUUUUGUAUAUUUUUUUAUUGUAUUUCUAUUAUUUUUUUUAAUGUGUGAUAUUAUUUAUUUUAUGAUAUUUUCAUUCGCCAUGCUAUUUUGCAUAAUAUUUUAUUUAUUUUUAUAUGCAUUAGAUAUGUUUUGCGCAUUAUUACAAAUAUUUAUAUUUUGUAAUAUGAUAAUGCAAUUAAUUAUGGAUUUUUUAUUGUUAUUAAUUUUUCAUUAAUUUAUAGAAUUAAAUCGAAUAAGUUAAUUAUAUCAAAAAAUAGUAUAAAUAUACUACAACUUAAUAUAAAAAAUAGGUUUGAAAAUCGCACAGUAUGUAAUCGUACAACUCAGAAUCCUAUAAAUUGAUAAGAAAAUAUAAAGAUGUUAAUUAUUAGUCUAAAAUAAAAAAUAUAAAUAAUAACCAACCAUAUUAUUGAAAAGAAAAUAAUACAAAUUCCCAUAUAACUUAAGUGAAGUAGUAAACAAAAUACUUUUAAAAAAAAACCAAAUACUAUUGGAAUAGCACCAAUACAUAAAAAAAUACUUGCUAAUAAUACACUAAUUAAUAAAUUAUUAAAAAAGCUAAAAAAAAUAAAGUUAAUUAAAAAAUAAUUUUCAUUAUAUUUAAUAUCGAACAUAUUAUAUACUAUAAAAAAAUAAUAUAAAAUUAUUAAUAUAAUCAGACUUAAUGAGUAAAUUAAAUGAAAAUUUAGAUACAUAUAAAAGAUGUAAUUUUUAUUAGAAAUAAAUAUUAAAAAUAAAAAACUAAAAUUAUUAACGCUAAGUACAAAUAAAAGACUUACAAUUGCAAAACUAUUUAAUCCAAUUAACACGCAUGUAAUGCAUUGUAUUAUAAUAAGUUUUAUAAAUAUUAUAUAAA